AAAACGUUUUUUCCCACUUUCUCAUUUUUGCUCGAGUUCAUCGUCUGACCAGGUCUGACCAGGGCUGACUGCCACACAAGGCUGGAAACUAAACCACGUAAGCAAAUUCUACUGUAGUGCAAAGCUGCAUAUUUUGUAGACAGAGAAGCUGGCAUGGAGCAAAGAAAACCUGAAUGCUGAUGUAAGAGUCCUUAAGUGGAUCUUAUUAACACCAAAGAAUUCCAGAGGAAGAAUAGUGAACUUGAAUGCCCUUAUUGAAAUUGUCAAUGGUACAUUAUCUCCGAUUUUUAGCAUAAACGAUGUGGCAGUCGUUGUUAGCCGUAUGGAGUAACUAUUUGGAUGUCAAAGCGGCUGAUGUUAGCGCCCAUUUUUGGGCAAUUUUGGAAGAAAAGCAGUUCCAACUAAGCCAUUAGAUGGUAUCAUGUAUGUAUGUAGUUCACAACAAAGGUUCAGUUAUUAAUUAAUUAAUGGAAGAAUCCAAACAUUUCUAUAAAAUUGUACAUUGCUUUUUAAUGCAGGAAUAGACAUAAACACAGAAUAAGUGUUAGCUAUACAACUGCUGUUGGCGAAAACGGAUCUGGUUUGAUGAGAUGUCAUUCUCGAGGAUCAGCUACAUGUCAGCUUCUCGUCAAAUUUUUCUACUGGAACCAUUUGCCAAAGCGUGGAUUAGCUUGACAAUGGACUUCGUAAAUCACAACGACAAAGAUUCAUGAAUCAAAAAUUAAAAGAGAACCGUCUGCCUACAUGCGUAGAGGACAUUAGAUGUGGAUUCAACCGUUGGCCAAUCGACUUUUGAUUGAUCAGGUGACUGGCCUUGGCUACGUGGAUCUUGGGUCACAUAGGUGGAAUUCAGAGAGAAACAGCUGUGAUCUUUGGGAUAUGAAAUGUUUUAAGGUAUGUUUUUAUUCGCAAUUGACCAAAGAAUUUUCUGCUUAUGUGCAGUUGACAGAGCACAACAAAACUCGCAUUAAUGAAACCUGAUUAACGUAAGCUGCCAAAAUUCAGCAAAGAGACGUUCGUCAGUGAUGUUGAUGAAAUAACCGGCAUCCUGAUGUCUUCGCUGCUGCUAUUUCCGCUAUUAUUGUUGUUAUCCUGUGUAUAAUAAGGUUUUUUCCAGCACAUUGGUGCGGUGACAAAAUGUGUUUGAUCAUGUUGCAUUCGUUACGUAACUUCUGAACAAACAGCAGCAGCUUCCGUUAUGCCUCCGGUAACCAAAUGGGUUAUUACGCCACAUAAAUUCCAACGUCUGCGAGAUUUGCAU